UGGAUGUUUAGACACGAGGAUAAGAUCUUCUGUGGCUAGCUCAAUGCUGUUACAUCUGCUAGUGUGGGCUAUCAGGAAGUCACACUUGUAGAGCUUGAUGGAGACAGAGAUUACAACAUGCCUGUUGAACUUGGAGGUAGUGGUGGAAUAGUAUGCUUAAAAUAUAUUUCCGUGUCUCUGUGUUAUGCAUUAUGUUUCGCUAGGCAAUUAUUUUAUUUAUCAAGUUAUUAAUUUUAUAAGGCUUAUUUCAACUAAUUUACAUGUUGAAGUUGAGAAAAACUAGUUGCUGGAAAUGCGCUAAAGGAUUGAAGAUGAUCAUUAUAGAUAAAAACGCCGAGCUUGACUAUGCGAAAAGAGUUCGCCAGCCAGCGACACAACUUGGAAGCUAUGAUGCGAAAGGUUAUGAAACAAGUAGUUGGAGAUCGAGAUGAGUAGAAUGUUUUCACUUUUUUAUUAUUGUAAUUGACUGUAGAGUUAUUUAAGUUUCAACAAACAUGUUGAAGUACACACUUUGAUUAUCAAUGAUAUCUUUGUUAUUAUUG